rnacentral:rRNA from 1 species
GAUGAACGCUGGCGGCGUGCUUAACACAUGCAAGUCGAACGGAACUACUCCAAUUAGAGUCUUCGGAAAGGAGUUGGUUUAGUGUAGUGGCGGACGGGUGAGUAACGCGUGGGUAACCUGCCCUAUACAGGGGGAUAACAGUUGGAAACGACGGUUAAUACCUCAUAAGCGCACAGGAGCGCAUGCUCCGGGGUGAAAAACUCCGGUGGUAUAGUCUGGACCCGCGUCUGAUUAGCUGGUUGGCGGGGUAACGGCGCACCAAGGCGACGAUGAGUAGCCGGGAGGAGGAGGUGACCGGUCACAUUGGGACUGAGGCACGGCCCAAACUCCUACGGGAGGCAGCAGUGGGGAAUAUUGCACGAGGGGGGAAACCCUGAUGCAGCGACGCCGCGUGAGCGAGGAAGUAUCUCGGUAUGUAAUGCUCUAUCAGCAGAGAAGAAAAUGACGGUACCUGACUAAGAAGCCCCGGCUAACUACGUG